AUUGAACGCUGGCGGCAGGCCUAACACAUGCAAGUCGAGCGGCUGAAGGGUGCUUGCUCCUGGUUUCAGCGGCGGACUGGCGAGUAAUUCCUAGGAAUCUGCCUGGUUGUUGUGUCUUACGUCCUGACACGGGCGCUCAUACCGCAUACGUCCUUACGGCGUACGUGUGGGAUCUUCGGACCUUCCGCUAUCACAUGAUCCUAUGUCGGAUUAUCUAGUUGGGGGGUUAACGGCCUACCAAGGCGACGAUCCGUCACUGGUCUGAUAGUAUGAUCAGUCACACUGAAACUGAGACACGGUCCAGACUCCUAGGGGAGGCAGAAGUGGGGAAUAUGGGACAAUGGGCGAAAGCCUGAUCCAGCAAUGCCGGGUGGGUGAAGAAGGUCUUCGGAUUGUAAAGCACUUUAAGGGGAGAGAAAGGGAAGUAAGUUAAUACCUGGCUGUUUUAACGUUACCAACAGAAUAAGAACCGGCUAACUCCGG
rnacentral:rRNA from 1 species